rnacentral:rRNA from 1 species
UACAGAGGUCUCAAGCGUUGUUCGGAUUCAUUGGGCGUAAAGGGUGCGUAGGCGGCGCAGCAAGUCAGGGGUGAAAUCCCGGGGCUCAACCCCGGAACUGCCCUUGAAACUGCAGUGCUAGAAUUCUGGAGAGGCGAGUGGAAUUCCGAGUGUAGAGGUGAAAUUCGUAGAUAUUCGGAAGAACACCAGUGGCGAAGGCGACUCGCUGGACAGACAUUGACGCUGAGGUGCGAAAGCGUGGGGAGCAAACAGG